UGAUUGCUUCCAGCACGGCCUGUGGCAUUGAGACCUUCCCUCUGUGACUGCAGGCCUCCCCGCCCAGAGCAUACUUACAUGACUGUGAAGCCUUGUUCGGGAUACCAGCGGCUACAUCCAGUCUCCCCCCACGCUAAGGAAGGGGUGUAUCUGAGUGCCAAUGAGCUGCAGCCUGGUCCCAGAACCUACCAGGAGCGACGCUACAAGAAUGUCACGGAGCCGGCUCCCAGGUC